AAUUGACGCAACGGGGCUGAUGCCGAAGCUUUAAAGAAUUUUGCACCUUCGAACGCCUUGUUCUGUAGCAUCUGGGAGGCUAGACAGAUUAAGAGCGUUUCUCUGAUUAUGUGGACCAUGGGACAUGGACGCUCUUAGUUCGUCGAAGGACAUGCUUGCUCAAUUUCGAUAAGGAACGUGACUUCAGUCUACCGAAAUAGCUGUGGAGGUUCCAGCACCUUAUAACCCUCUUAGGGGGACAAGCGGCCAUACCACAUAAAGCAGCAAUUACGGGUCUGUGGUCCCCUUAGAUGCCCGGGGUAGCAGGCGCGGUGCACUGAAGUAAUCAGCGCAUCGCUGAAAAGGCAGGAUAAUCCGUGGAACUUCAUCCGGGAUUGGGAUGAGGUCUUGCGAGUGUUCUCCUCGAACAAGUAAGACGUGGUAAUCACGAGCUCUAAGCUCUUCCUAUGGACCCUGCCUUUUGUGCA
rnacentral:rRNA from 1 species